rfam:Triticum aestivum genome assembly, contig: Triticum_aestivum_CS42_TGACv1_scaffold_032509_1BL
GUGGUACUCCCUUCGUCCGAAAAUACUUGUCAUCAAAAUGGAUAAAAGGGUAUGUAUCUAGAACUAAAAUACAUCUACAUACAUCCCUUUUUAUUCAUCUUGAUGACAAGUAUUUCCAGACGGAGGGAGUAUGCA